GGCUGUGCCGAAAGGUAGUGAGUUUAUCUUAAUCGAUUGUUCACAGUCAGUACAGAGUGAACUCCUUGUUCUACUCUUUCCCCCCUUCUCACUACUGCACUUGACUAGUCUUAA
ensembl:misc_RNA Y_RNA Y RNA